rnacentral:sRNA from 1 species
AUACACGGUCACAAGGAAAUCAGAACCUCUUAUUUAACAAUAACAUCGACCGUAUUGCUCGCCAACUGAGAGAACAGACAGAAACCGACACAAUGGCUGACGUUGUAGAUGAGCAAGAGCAACCUACCAACAUUGGUGCUCGUGACUUCCCUCACAACCACAACCAGCGUCAUGGAAUUGUUCCACCUCCAGUACAGAACACCAACUUUGAGAUCAAAAGCGGUCUCAUUGCAAUGGUUCAGGGGAACAAGUUUCAUGGCCUGCCAAUGGAGGAUCCGCUAGAUCAUCUUAACGAGUUCGAAAGGCUCUAUGGCCUCACUAAAGUCCGUAUGAGUCUUUGGCUUUGUGUCUUCUAACAAGGAUACUAUUCUUACGCUUAUAAGAUCGGGUUGCGGCUUAAGUUCUUAUACACAAUCAUACACAUGACAUCAAGUCGUAUUCGACUCCAAAACACUAACCAACCUUCUUCUUCCGUCUCAAAGCUUUCAUGGUGUAGCCAAAGUCCGUAUGAUUCUUUGGCUUUGAUCUUCUAACAAGGAAACACUUCUUAGGCUUAUAAGAUCGGGUUGCGGUUUAAGUUCUUAUACACAAUCAUACACAUGACAUCAAGUCGUAUUCGACUCCAAAACACUAACCAACCUUCUUCUUGUGUCUCAAAGAUUUCGUGGUGUAGCCAAAUUCUGUAUGAGUCUUUGGCUUUGUGUCUUCUAACAAGGAUACAAUUCUUACGCCUUUAAGAUCCAGUUGCGGUUUAAGUUCUUAUACUCAAUCAUACACAUGACAUCAAGUCAUAUUCGACUCCAAAACACUAACCAAGCUUCUUCUA